UCCUGUAAUUGGGGCACUUUGGGCCGGACACACUUGUGAGCGUGGGUAUCGUCUAGGCAUGCUGGGGCUGUGAUGUGAGGCACACUGGUGAUUGGACGGAGGAACCAUAUAUCCUCAUGUAUUGUCUGCGCUAGACAGCUGGCGUACUUGCAGUCGCAGUGCACAUGUGCAUCGCCAUGCAGACGGACACAGAUAAAAGAUCAGCUUAGAUCAUUAGGACAGGAUGGACACUUGAAUAGACGGAUAUCAACGUGUCUCCUCUCUGAUGGGAAGACCCAAUAUGUCGUGGUGGGUGUCCAUGGGUGUGGAUGACAGUGUCUCUCUCAAUUCUCUCAAGAACAAAGGGUCAGCUUGUAUUUGGACUAGUGUCGACACUCCAGGGACGCAGAGAUAAAGAAAGGGAGGGUCGUCUGACAUAACCUGAGCUCAAGUCUGCGCGAACGAGCAGCCAUUGUGGAUAUUGUGUAUAUCCUGAUGAAAUCCUGAAAUAUUUCCAAGGCCGAAAGAAGGACAAAGACGGGAACAGUUUCUGGUCUACACUUCUGGGAGCUGGCGUCGUGUGGCAUCCCCAAAAUGGUGGGUGUGGGCUCAUUGUUUUGGGGGAUUUAAAAUGGAAGUUCCUUCACUCUGGAGAUUUGGCAAACGCUUGGGACAUGUACUUCAGAUCAUCCGAGCUUCCAUGGGAUCCUGUUCAAACUGAAAAGACAUUAUGAUCAAGGCCUAAAAUGCACUAAAAUGUAGAGAGGUGUUGAAAAAAAAGACUUUCAUCAACCUUCAUUUCCCACUGCCCAGCUUUGAAACCACAUGCUCCUUCAUAAUGAAAGAAAAUGAAUAAGGCCGAUUAUCACGCUGAUAUGAAGUCCUUAAUGGGUGGACUCGUUCCCAGAGGCCCAGAGGACCAUUGCAUGAGACCAUGCAUUGCCUCUGACUGACCUGCUAUCAAGCAUCGAGGUGCUGGGAAGCUGUGCUUGCCAGUUGGCCUCGCUGCUGAUAAGGUCAGAUUUGUGGAGGUCUCUCCGAGAGAACAGGAGUGGCACAGAUCUUGCAGUUAGUGGCAAACCCAAUUAUAUAAUGCCUUUAUUGCUACCAAGAGUAUUUGGAAUGGAUUUCGAGUUCAGUUCUGGCUAAAAUUACAAUUUGUCAGCAUUUACUCACCCUUCGGUAUUGUUUUAUUAGUGAAUUUUUUUUUUAAUUCUCACUACUAACUGUUAACUACAACUUUUGUUUCAAUAAACUCCUAAUUUGCUGCUUAUUAAUAAUUAGCAAUGUAAUUUAAUUUAAUUUAACAACAUAUGAUGUUGCAUAAAA